rnacentral:rRNA from 1 species
UAAGCUGGCUUGACUGCGAGACGGAUAUGUCGAGCAGGUGGGAAACCAGAACUUAGUGAACCGACCCUUGGUUAUAGAAUCAGGGAAGAUCAUCAGCCAAAAGUUACCCCGGGGAUAACAGGCUAGUAGGGCCCGCGAGUCCAUAUCUACGGCCCUGUUCGGCACCUUAAUUAUCGGGGUGCUAUAGUAGCAAUAUUGUACCUGUUCUCCCGUAAUAGAGAAAAACAAAAAAUCGGCUUAUAACGGUGAACUCCAUAUGAUAGUAUAAGCGCAUAUCUAUGGACGAUACCGUGGGAAGUUUAAUCUAAUUAGGUUAUAACCCCGUAGAGACUUGAUUCCAGCGCGAAUCAGAGUUCUUCAGAAUAUGAAGAGCUAACACGCCGACUCCGUUAUGAGAAUAAUGGAUGAAGAUAUAGUCCGAUCCUCUUGGUAACAAGAGAAAAAUGUCGACAGCGAUGUCGGCUCAUCACAGCGCGGGGCUGAAGAAGGUCCCAAGCGUUUGGCUGUUCGCCAAUUAAAGUGAUACGUGAGCUGGGUUCAAACCGUCGUGAGACAGGUUGGUCCCUAUCUACCGCAGGCGUUGAGUUUUGAGGAGAGUCUUUCUUAGUACGAGAGGACCAGAAAGAACUGACCUCUGGUGUACCAGCUGUUCCGCCAGGAGCAUUGUUGGGUAGCUAUGUCGGGACGGGAUAAGCGCUGAAAGCAUAUAAGCGCGAAGCCUCCUCCAAGAUGAGAACUCUAAGACCCCUCGCAGAUGACGAGGUUGAUAGGCUCUAGGUGUAAGCCCAGUAAUGGGUUCAGCCGAGGAGUACUAAUGGUCACAAAAUGCAGGAU